GCCUACGUGGUGUAGUGGUCAGCACGCUCGACGCGUAACCGAGAGGUCCGUGGUUCGAUUCCCGGUGAAUUCU
rnacentral:tRNA from 1 species